UACGAAGGGUGCGAGCGUUGUUCGGAAUUACUGGGCGUAAAGGGUUCGUAGGCGGGAAGGUAAGUCAAGUGUGAAAUCCCCGAGCUUAACUUGGGACGUGCACCUGAAACUGCUUUUCUUGAGUGUUGGAGAGGGUGGUGGAAUUGCUGGUGUAGGAGUGACAUCCGUAGAGAUCAGCAGGAACACCGGAGGCGAAAGCGACCACCUGGCCAAACACUGACGCUGAGGAACGAAAGCGUGGGGAGCAAACAGG
rnacentral:misc_RNA from 1 species